UACAGGUUAGUGUUAUCUAGCACAUAGAUCUUUGACCUCUAAAGACGGAGCUAAUUACUCCGACCUGUAA
rnacentral:tRNA from 1 species